rnacentral:rRNA from 1 species
GGUUGCGAUCAUACCAGCACUAAUGCACCGGAUCCCAUCAGAACUCCGCAGUUAAGCGUGCUUGGGCGAGAGUUGUACUAGGAUGGGUGACCCCCUGGGAAGUCCUCGUGUUGCAACCC